rnacentral:rRNA from 1 species
UACAGAGGGUGCAAGCGUUGUUCGGAAUUACUGGGCGUAAAGCGCGUGUAGGCGGUUGUUCAAGUCAGGGGUGAAAGCCUUGAGCUCAACUCAAGAAAUGCACUUGAUACUGGAUGACUAGAGGACCGGAGAGGAUAGUGGAAUUCCCAGUGUAGUGGUGAAAUACGUAGAGAUUGGGAAGAACACCAGUGGCGAAGGCGGCUAUCUGGACGGUUUCUGACGCUAAGACGCGAAAGCGUGGGGAGCAAACAGG